rnacentral:pre_miRNA from 1 species
GGAAAGUUGGAAACUACCGUUGGAUAAAAAAAUGGACAUCUGAGAUUCAUCCACGUCAUCAUUAGUAAAAUUUUUCCUUACAGGUUUACUCAUGAGUAAGUAAAAUUUUUACUCAUUGUAAUAUGGACCAAUCUCAGAUAUCCAUUUUUUGAUCCAACGGUAGUUUUCAAGUUUCC